UCCCUGGUGGUUCAUUGGCUAAAACUCUGCACUUCCGCUGCAGUGGUCAUAGAUUCAAUUCCUCGUCAGGGAA
rnacentral:tRNA from 1 species